AUUGAACGCUGGCGGCAUGCUUUACACAUGCAAGUCGAACGGCAGCGCGGGCUUCGGUCUGGCGGCGAGUGGCGAACGGGUGAGUAAUUCAUCGGAACGUGCCCAGCAGCGGGGGAUAGCGCGGCGAAAGACGGAUUAAUACCGCAUACGACCUGAGGGUGUAAGCGGGGGAGCGAAAGGCCUCGCGCUCUUGGAGCGGCCGAUGUCGGAUUAGCUAGUUGGUGGGGUAAAGGCUUACCAAGGCGACGAUCCGUAGCUGGUCUGAGAGGACGAUCAGCCACACUGGAACUGAGACACGGCCCAGACUCCUACGGGAGGCAGCAGUGGGGAAUAUUGGACAAUGGGGGCAACCCUGAUCCAGCCAUGCCGCGUGCGUGAAGAAGGCCUUCGGGUUGUAAACCGCUUUUGUUCGGGAAGAAAACCAGUAGGCUAAUACCCCGCGGGGAUGACGGUACCGGAAGAAUAAGCACCGGCUAACUUCGUG
rnacentral:rRNA from 1 species